rnacentral:rRNA from 1 species
AGUGAACGCUGGCGGUAGGCCUAACACAUGCAAGUCGAACGGCAGCACAGUAAGAGCUUGCUCUUACGGGUGGCGAGUGGCGGACGGGUGAGGAAUACAUCGGAAUCUACUUUUUCGUGGGGGAUAACGUAGGGACACUUACGCUAAUACCGCAUACGACCUACGGGUGAAAGCAGGGGAUCUUCGGACCUUGCGCGAUUGAAUGAGCCGAUGUCGGAUUAGCUAGUUGGCGGGGUAAAGGCCCACCAAGGCGACGAUCCGUAGCUGGUCUGAGAGGAUGAUCGGCCACACUGGAACUGAGACACGGUCCAGACUCCUACGGGAGGCAGCAGUGGGGAAUCUUGGACAAUGGGCGCAAGCCUGAUCCAGCCAUACCGCGUGGGUGAAGAAGGCCUUCGGGUUGUAAAGCCCUUUUGUUGGGAAAGAAAAGCAGCAGAUUAAUCCCCCGCUGUUCUGACGGUACCCAAAGAAUAAGCACCGGCUAACUUCGUG